rnacentral:piRNA from 1 species
UGGACAUUGAGGUUUCCCGCUAGGAUCGG